rnacentral:piRNA from 1 species
UUGAACAAAUAACACACGAUUUCGACGAU